rnacentral:rRNA from 1 species
UACGAAGGGGGCUAGCGUUGCUCGGAAUGACUGGGCGUAAAGGGCGCGUAGGCGGAUGGCUUAGUCAGGUGUGAAAUUCCCGGGCUUAACCUGGGGGCUGCAUUUGAGACGGGUUGUCUAGAGUUUGGAAGAGGGUCGUGGAAUUCCCAGUGUAGAGGUGAAAUUCGUAGAUAUUGGGAAGAACACCGGUGGCGAAGGCGGCGACCUGGUCCUUGACUGACGCUGAGGCGCGAAAGCGUGGGGAGCAAACAG